rnacentral:ribozyme from 14 species
UUUGUCAAUAUAUUGUCAUUCUUCUUCUUCUUCUUCUUCCUCCUCCUCCUCACUUUUUAUGAUCCUCCUUCUAUCAUUCUUUAAGAAAAAUACACGAAGUUAUCGCGAAAGAGACAAAAAGGUUGCCAAGGGUCUAUAAAGUGAGAGAAAUGUUCUAUCUAUAGCAGCUCUUUCUAAACAAAAAAACAAUCGAAAUUCUGGCGAGAGGAUAGUCACGUACCAUACGUACUGGAUCGUACGUGUAAUUUUCAAAAU